ACGAGACCUCAGGUCAGGCGG
rnacentral:rRNA from 1 species